rnacentral:rRNA from 1 species
CUGGGAAAGAUUCAUCGGUAUGGGAUGGGGUCGCGUCCUAUCAGCUUGAUGGCGGGGUAACGGCCCACCAUGGCUUCGACGGGUAGCCGGCCUGAGAGGGCGACCGGCCACAUUGGGACUGAGAUACGGCCCAGACUCCUACGGGAGGCAGCAGUGGGGAAUAUUGCACAAUGGGCGCAAGCCUGAUGCAGCGACGCCGCGUGCGGGAUGACGGCCUUCGGGUUGUAAACCGCUUUUGACUGGGAGCAAGCCCUUCGGGGUGAGUGUACCUUUCGAAUAAGCACCGGCUAACUACGUGCCAGCAGCCGCGGUAAUACGUAGGGUGCAAGCGUUAUCCGGAAUUAUUGGGCGUAAAGGGCUCGUAGGCGGUUCGUCGCGUCCGGUGUGAAAGUCCAUCGCUUAACGGUGGAUCCGCGCCGGGUACGGGCGGG